AUUGAACGCUGGCGGCAGGCCUAACACAUGCAAGUCGAGCGGAUGAAGGGAGCUUGCUCCUGGAUUCAGCGGCGGACGGGUGAGUAAUGCCUAGGAAUCUGCCUGGUAGUGGGGGAUAACGUCCGGAAACGGGCGCUAAUACCGCAUACGUCCUGAGGGAGAAAGUGGGGGAUCUUCGGACCUCACGCUAUCAGAUGAGCCUAGGUCGGAUUAGCUAGUUGGUGGGGUAAAGGCCUACCAAGGCGACGAUCCGUAACUGGUCUGAGAGGGUGAUCAGUCACACUGGAACUGAGACACGGCCCAGACUCCUACGGGAGGCAGCAGUGGGGAAUAUUGGACAAUGGGCGAAAGCCUGAUCCAGCCAUGCCGCGUGUGUGAAGAAGGUCUUCGGAUUGUAAAGCACUUUAAGUUGGGAGGAAGGGCAGUAAGUUAAUACCUUGCUGUUUUGACGUUACCAACAGAAUAAGCACCGGCUAACUUCGUG
rnacentral:rRNA from 1 species